AAACUCACCUGGCAGGGGAGUGAACCAGGAGCACAAACGUGGUUUUCCCAAGGCAAAGUUCAUCCACAGGACUCCAGAGAGGCUAACCCUGUUGUUUUCCAAACACAGGAGAAGCAACUGCAUGACUUCCAGUAGUUGGGGCUCACUCAUACGAUUUCCUAA